UACGAAGGGUGCAAGCGUUACUCGGAAUUACUGGGCGUAAAGCGUGCGUAGGUGGUUUGUUAAGUCUGAUGUGAAAGCCCUGGGCUCAACCUGGGAAUUGCAUUGGAUACUGGCAGGCUAGAGUGCGGUAGAGGAUGGCGGAAUUCCCGGUGUAGCAGUGAAGUGCGUAGAGAUCGGGAGGAACAUCUGUGGCGAAGGCGGCCAUCUGGACCAGCACUGACACUGAGGCACGAAAGCGUGGGGAGCAAACAGG
rnacentral:rRNA from 1 species